ACGACGCUGGCGGCGUGCCUGACACAUGCAAGUCGGACGGUUCUUGUAUCUUCAAGCUUGCUUGCAGGUGCAAGGAUAGUGGCGGACGGGUGAGUAACGCGUGAACAUCUACCCAUUGGAGGGGACAACCCGUCGAAAGGCGGGCUAAUACCGCGUAAGCCGCGAGGUGAGAGGCUGCCUAUUGGUGGCCGCCGAUGGAUGGGUUCGCGUCCUAUCAGCUGGUUGGUGGGGUAACGGCCUACCAAGGCGAAGACGGGUAGCCGGUCUGAGAGGAUGGCCGGCCACACUGGAACUGAGACACGGUCCAGACUCCUACGGGAGGCAGCAGUGGGGAAUAUUGGUCAAUGGGCGAGAGCCUGAACCAGCCAAGUCGCGUGAAGGAAGAAGGUCUUAUGGAUUGUAAACUUCUUUAGCGAGGGGAAUAAAGGUUAUUACGAGCUAAUAAUUUGCAGGUACUCUGCGAAAAAGGAUCGGCUAACUCCGUG
rnacentral:rRNA from 1 species